GCAAGAGCGUCUGUGCUGAACCACGGAGCCACCAGAGGGCGCGCGAUCCCGCCCCACCAACUUCCCGCGGAGGUGCCAGAAGCAGCGAGGAGCUUCAACUUCCCCAGUGCAGCACGAGGGUCGUGUUAACUUGGUGUUCUUCAUUGAGAAAUGGAAUCAUCCUAUCGCUGAUCUACGUAAACAAAUUGAAGAAUUGUCUGAAAGAAAAUAUGACAUGAACUUAUGAAUUCAACAGGUGAAGAUUUACAACUUGAUAAAUCAGCUUUGUGAGCUCGAGCUGUAAAAGCCAAAGGUCCGGUGAUGAUCCCAUACCCUUUUUUCCAGUCUCAUGUUGAAGAUUUUUAUGUAGAAGGCCUUCCCAAAGGAAAUUUUUUUUUUUUUUGAGAUGGAGUUUUCACUCUUAUCGCCCAGGCUGGGGUGCAGUGGCGCAACCUUGCUGGUCACUGCAACCUCUGCCUCCUCGGUUCAAGAAAUUCUCCUGCCUUAGCCUCCCAAGUCGCUGGGAUUACAGGUGCCCACCACCACACCAGGCUAAUUUUUGUAUUUUUAGUGGAGAUGGGGUUUCACCAUGUUGGCCGAGCCAGUCUCGAACUCCUGACGUCAAGUGAUCUUCCCGCCUCGGCCUUCCAGAGUGCUGAGAUUACAGACGUGAACCCAUGCCUGGCCAGGAAUUUUGUUUUUUAGGAAGGCUUUCUACUAAUGGAAUUCCUGGCCUUGAGAGGAUGUUACUUUCGAAGGAAAGGAUUUUUUUGUUAUUAAAAGAAACAGGACCUUGCCCUGUCACUCAGGAUGGAGUUCAGUGCUCCUAUCAUGGCUCAUUAUAGCCUCAAACUCCCAGGCUCAAGCAAUCCUACCAUGUCAGCCUUCCCCUAGCUGGGACUACAGGUCUCACACUGUCACCCAGGCUGGAGUACAGUGGCACAACCUCUGCUCACUGCAGCCUCCACCUGCCAGGCUCAAGCAAUUCUCCUGCCUCAGCCUCCCGAGUAGCUGGGAUUACAGGAAGUGAGCUCACAAUGACUCAAGCUGCCACAUACUGUUGAUUGUGAAAUGCCAGUUGAAGUAUAUGUCCUGCGAGCUUAGGGGUGCUACAAGUUGACCACUGCAGCAGUAAAGAUGACUCUGAAGAAUGGCGUGGGAUGGAUCCUUUCAAAUGCACUUGAGCAGCGGUCUCCAACCACAGGGCCACAGAGCUGGAGCUGGAUCUACCAUGAAGGACUUCUGAAUCCAGGAAGAGAGACUGACUGGGCAACAUGUUAUUCAGGGUCUCACUCUGUUGUCCAAGGCUGGAGUGUAGUAGUGCUAUCGCAGCUGACUGCAGCCUCAACCUUCCAGGCUGAAGCGAUCCUCCCACCUCAACCUCCCACGUGGCUGAGACUACAGGUGCUUGCCACUAUGCCAAACUAAUAUUUGGAAUUUUUGUAUACGUGGAUUCCAGAGGGGUGACAGCGAAACGUGGGACCAUCCAGUUUCAGGAAAACAAGCUUAACACGCCCACUGAUUCUACAUUAUGCUCCUACUUCCCGGCAGCCUCUCCAGGCCCAGAACUUUCUCCAGUCAGCCUCUACAGACCAAGCUCAUGACUCACAGUGGCAUAUUUAGGCCCAUACCCCACCUCAUGGCAGUCUCCGCAGAUGAGCCUACUGCCUCACAACAGCCUCCACAGGCACAGCUCCAUCGUUACAAUGGCCUCUUUAGACCCAGCUCCUGCCUCCCAGCCUUCUCUCCAGGCCCUGAGCUUUCUCAAGUCGACCUCACCAGGCCCAGCUCAUGCUUCUUUGCAGCCUCUCCAGGCCCAGCUCCUGCAUCUUGGCCCCUCCAGGCCCAGCCUCUGCCUCCUGUCGGCCUCUACAGUCCCAACAUCUACCUCACAGCAGAUUCUUCAGGCCCAGCAUCUGCCUCACUGUGGACCCCCCAAGCCAAGCUCCCAACCUUUCAGCAGCUUCUACACACCCAGCUCCCGCCUGCCAGUGGCCUCUUCAGGCCCAUGGGGCUCAUUCCUCACAACAGCCUUUCCAGGCCCAGUUUUUCCCUUCCGGCGGCCUCUCUGGGCUGAGAACCUCCUCAAGUCGGCCUCUCCAGACCACUUGCACCCUCCGGGCGUCCUCUCCGGGCCAAGCUCCUCUUCCUGGCUGUGUCUCCAGGCCCGACUCCUGCCUGUCAACAACCUCUUUGGACUCAGUGCCUACCCAUCUCCUGGCUGCCUUGGUUGGCCCACAGCUUCCUCAAGCCACGCUCCCCAGGCCCAGGUCAGGCCUCACGGUGGCCUCUCCAGGAUGAGCUCCUGCCCUCUGAUGGCACCUGCAGGCCCCAAAUGGUCUCCGGUCGGUGGGCUUCUCCACGCCAAGCUUGGGCCUCCCGGCGACCUCUGCAGGCCCAAGUUGUCCUGAAGUUGGCAU